rnacentral:rRNA from 1 species
GACGAACGCUGGCGGCGUGCUUAACACAUGCAAGUCGAACGGAAAGGCCCUUCUUUUGUGGGGUGCUCGAGUGGCGAACGUGUGAGUAACACGUGAUUAACCUGCCCUUGACUUUGGUAUAACUUCAUGAAACUGGUGCUAAUACCUGAUAGGAUCUCCUGCUGCAUGGUGGGGGUUGGAUAGUUUCGGCGGUUGGGGAUGGACUCGCGGCUUAUCAGCUUGUUGGUGGGGUAGUGGCUUACCAAGGCUUUGACGGGUAGCCGGCCUGAGAGGGUGACCGGCCACAUUGGGACUGAGAUACGGCCCAGACUCCUACGGGAGGCAGCAGUGGGGAAUAUUGCACAAUGGGCGGAAGCCUGAUGCAGCAACGCCGCGUGCGGGAUGACGGCCUUCGGGUUGUAAACCGCUUUCGCCAGGGACGAAGCGUGAGUGACGGUAAUGGGUAAAGAAGCACCGGCUAACUACGUG